rnacentral:rRNA from 1 species
UACGAGAGGCCCAAACGUUAUUCGGAAUUACUGGGCUUAAAGAGUUCGUAGGCGGCGCAGAAAGUAGGGUGUGAAAGCCCUCGGCUCAACCGAGGAAUUGCGCUCUAAACUGCUGUGCUUGAGGGACCUAGAGGUGAGCAGAACUGAUGGUGGAGCGGUGAAAUGCGUUGAUAUCAUCAGGAAUACCGGAGGCGAAGGCGGC